UUAAUGUCACUAUUCUAUCUUCUUGCUGUUGCAGGUUGUUGGCCUGCCCAUGCUACUAGAGCUGUCAUGGGUGCUUGGUUUUGCAGGUUGGAUUCUGGAGGAACGACAACCUGCAGGCUGGCUGGAUCAUGUGCCCGCCUGUUCUUAAUUUGAAACUCGGUGGUUGAUUCAUAGGAAUCGUUACUAAGCCCACACUCUCCUGUACCUAAUUGUCAUUGUCACCUCGGUGGUUGAUUCAUGGGAAUCUUUACCAAGCCGGUGAGAAUGACUUGUGAGUUUCGAUGAUGGUUCGUUCUUCUCCUACUUCUAAUUUUCUCCUCUUUACCACUACUUGUCACUCGGUGCCGAUUCCGUUCAUCAUCGUGGUUACUAAUAAUGCAGUAUCAUGACCAUGUAAUUCAAUUUUUCGAUUAUUCAAAUUCUGAUAGCACCAGAAAAUAUUUUCUAUUUGCAUUAGUAAUCAUAUUAGUGCCUGAAUUAUGGUAUACUUUGUGCAGAUCCCCUCGUAAAUGAAUUUGACUGAAUCAAAUCGAUCUCCACUUUCAAGGAUGUUCAUAGUAACAAAGGCAUUUUUGGAAUCAUACCUCGACUGUAAGUAUCAUCUUUUUUUUUUCUUGGCUGAAGUAUCAUUUAUGUUUUUAUAAGCAAGCCUGUUAUGCAUGAUGUGUUUCCUGUUAUGUGCAAGUUUUAUUUUACUGCCCCGCAGAAAAAAUUAUUUUUCUGUUAUCUCUUGGUUGGGAAUACAUGCAAAUGAAGUUACUAGCUUUCCUUUUUCUGGUAAUAACUUAAACCAUGCACUUCACUUAUCAGUUAUUGCUAGAUUGGACAAGUUGGCGUUAUUAUACACAGAAACCACAAUAUUUCAUAGUUAAGCUAUUCUACUGUGGUGACUGAUAACUGGCGAAGAUAUCAUUUCAUAAUCAGGAUGUAGCAUGUGUUCCUAAAGCUAUUGACUUGGUAGCCAGAGAACUCACUUCCCCGCGACUCCUGGUCAUGGUACCUUAACUCUCUUAUGUUUGUUCAUCAGUCAUCAAGUAUUUUAUGUAUUGCAGCUUGAAACUAGUGUCUUUAAGAAUUUGUUUUCACAAUGACAAGAAACUUCUAACUCGGCGUUUCGUUUUCAUCUACUGCACUAUAUAUUCGUCUUGCAUUUUACAGUUAAAUUCAUCCACUGCAGUAUUGACUAAUUUCUCUUACCACAUGACUACAUUUCUUCAAACUAUGUUGGUUUUUAGUCCUUGAGCUACUCCCAAUAGUAGAUCCAUGAAUUUUGUUAUCCUUAUGUGAAAUAUAUUACCGACUACUUGGAAAAUUAGAUAGGGCUUUGGUACUACUAUUUUUAUACCCCGCACAAACUCUACAACACUAAGGACAAAUUUUUAAUAUUGAUCAUUUGUGUAUUUUUUUUCUUCAUGUAUAAUUUCCAGUGUUGACAGCAUAAACUAAUCUGAUCCAUCAAGCAUUUAUAAAAUACCAUGGGAAUAUUUCAUCAGGCACCACCAAACUGACAAUUCUUCACUUGACACUUUCAAUGCUUGUCGUUGAGUGUAUGAUUGUUUCUAACUGAAUAGGAUUUGCUUUUCAUCCCCUGCAGUUUAUGAUAAUCUUGUAAUCUACAACCUAAAUUCUAUUAUUGUUUGCUUUACUUUCAACUUUCAUUGUUUACUUUAUCUCACUUAGUGCAAUCUUCUUGUGUUUAGCUCUGCUUUUCCGUCAAACCUCACUUAACAUUUUAUUCUAACCACACAAUUUGAGAGCAUCUUCCUUUGUUUAGCUCGGCGGGAUCAAACACCACCAUUCUCGCCGACGUCCAACCAGCACCACGCAACUAAUGGUGCUGCCGGCAUGAUGACGCCCUCGUCCGUGCUGAUCUAGCUUUUCAACCUGUCAUUCCGGGCAUCUACUUUUGAUGUGAUAUUUGCUCUCUUUUCAUAAGUGUAGCUUACAUGAUCAGUUUUGUAGGUGCACUAUACUUCUGUGUUGUAUCUUUGUUUUUCAAGAAGCGACAGCAUGCUCCUGUCAGUGUUAUUUUAUUGCUAUCCAUUGGCAUGUGCUACGAGAAGUGAAAAGGGUGUAUAUGCAUGUACCAACGCUAAGUAAUUUAGCUGCUUUCAUCAAUUCAGCAACAUUUGUCA
rnacentral:lncRNA from 1 species